AAGGAUCAUUAAUGAAUUCACUAUGGAGUUGUUGCUGGCCUCUAGGGGCAUGUGCACGCUUCACUAGUCUUUCAACCACCUGUGAACUUUUGAUAGAUCUGUGAAGUCGUCUCUCAAGUCGUUAGACUUGGUUUGCUGGGAUGUAAACGUCUCGGUGUGACUACGCAGUCUAUUUACUUAUAACACCCCAAAUGUAUGUCUACGAAUGUCAUUUAAUGGGCCUUGUGCCUAUAAACCAUAAUACAACUUUCAACAACGGAUCUCUUGGCUCUCGCAUCGAUGAAGAACGCAGCGAAAUGCGAUAAGUAAUGUGAAUUGCAGAAUUCAGUGAAUCAUCGAAUCUUUGAACGCACCUUGCGCCCCUUGGUAUUCCGAGGGGCAUGCCUGUUUGAGUGUCAUUAAAUUCUCAAACUCACUUUGGUUUUUUCCAAUUGUGAUGUUUGGAUUGUUGGGGGCUGCUGGCCUUGACAGGUCGGCUCCUCUUAAAUGCAUUAGCAGGACUUCUCAUUGCCUCUGCGCAUGAUGUGAUAAUUAUCACUCAUCAAUAGCACGCAUGAAUAGAGUCCAGCUCUCUAAUCGUCCGCAAGGACAAUUUGACAAUUUGACCUCAAAUCAGGUAGGACUACCCGCUGAACUUAA
rnacentral:rRNA from 1 species